UACGUAGGAGGCGAGCGUUGUCCGGAAUUACUGGGCGUAAAGCGCGCGCAGGCGGCUAUCCAAGUCAGUGGUGAAAGCCCGGAGCUCAACUCCGGAACUGCCAUUGAAACUGUUUAGCUUGAGGAUGAGAGAGGUGAGUGGAAUUCCCAGUGUAGAGGUGAAAUUCGUAGAUAUCGGGAGGAACACCGGUGGCGAAGGCGGCCUGCUGGACAGCACCUGACACUGAGACGCGAAAGCGUGGGUAGCAAACAGG
rnacentral:rRNA from 1 species